rnacentral:tRNA from 2 species
GGAGAGGUGCCAGAGUGGCCGAAUGGACUGGUUUUGAAAACCAGCGUCUCGUGAGGGACCCAGGGUUCGAAUCCCUGCCUCUCCGCCA